GCAAAGCCAAAUGAGCCCCAUAUGAAUUCAGCCGUUCAGCGUGCCUGUAAUUGGUAAUUACUAUUGGUUACGAAUUAUUUUAGUUUUUUGUUUUAAAAAUUAUAAAUAAUUUGGUAAUACUCAAACACCUGUGUUGUUUUUUAUUAAAAAAAGGAAAUUUCCCAAAAUUCUCGCAGGGAGACUUGAGAUAUUGAUAUACCCAGAAAAAAAAAAUGUAGUUAAUGUAGUGUAGGCUUCUGAGUUCUCUCCGCAUCCGACCGGGAGGAGAGAAAGAGAGCAAAUCGGUUUGGUUUGUUGAUUUUUCGAGCAUGUUUCAACUUUCAGCUAUAUAUAUAUGUUGAUGUUGUUUUCGAUGAUUUCUUGAGGUGCCACAAAAAAGUCCCCAAAAGGCUCUUCGAUUUGAAAGGAGGGUUUUUCUAGGGUUUUAGCCACCGAAUUUUCUUACUUUUCUACACCAACUUUUUCUUUUCAUUAUAUUUUACCGUUUCCUUUUUCUGGGGCUUUCUUUAAAACUACUGUUACGCCUUAUUGUUUACAGUCACUUCUAGUUUAAUGGUAGCUGUACCUCUCUCGGCUCUCACAGUCUCACUAUUUCUGCUCUCUCUUUAACAUAGAUUAAUGGGUGGGGAUAAAAAAUUCUCGCGAAUUCUAGGGUUUAUAAGCACCAAAUAAGACCUUUUUACGUCCACCCAACCCCAUUUUCAGAAUCAUCAAAGAAACUGUUUUUUUUUUCUUUUAUAUAUAUAUAUAUAUAUAUUCGUUCAAACCUCCUAAAUCCCAUCUAUCACUUUCCCCGGUUUUUGUGAACCCCGGAAAAUAUUUUUUAAGUGGUUUAUGUUUGUAGCUCUGCAACUUUUACUGUUCUGAGUUGCAGAACCUCAAAACCUAGAAGAAUUUUGGUGUUUUGAACUGCUAGACCUAAUAAAAUCCUCAUCUUUCUCUUCUCUUGUCUCUGUUUUGUUUACCUUGUUUGCGCUUUUGGUGCUCUCGGUCUCCGCAAAUCUCUCAUGUGCUUUUGUGCUUAAACAACAAAAACUUCCUGAUCCAAGUAGCACUACACUUCAACGAGUCAAAAUUUUCAGUUUUUUAUACUUCCAUUUGGAGGAAGAAAGAAAGAAAAAGUUGGUUUUCCUGAGUUGCAGUGAAAAUGUCAAUGCCAUUAGAGCAGCAGCAGCCGCCACCCAUGACUGCAAAUCAGCAAGCUUUCAACAGUUACUCGAGUCACGGAUCAAUCGGACCUGUUAUUGCCGUUCUUGCCUUGAUAACGAUAUUGGGGGUUGUGGCCGGGAUGAUUGGUCGGCUCUGCUCGGGAAGGAGAAUCAUGGGUCAUGGGGAAUACGAUAUUGAAGAAUGGUUAGAGACAAAGUGCGCCUCUUGCAUCGAUGGAAGGAUCGACCCGCCACCUAAUGCGAAUGGCUCCGGCGACACCGUUCCAAUAGCAAUUCCACUGGAAACCCCUAAGCAGACAGGUCAUCCUCCUCAGAACCCAUCUACAGCUGUCGAUUCUUGACAUGGUUGGGUUAUAAAUACGACGCGAGAAUGAGCAGCACAUGAUGAGAUAUGGAUGAUGGACUUUUCCCUUUUUUUCAUGGAUGUAACAUGUAAGAGAAUUACAAAAGAUGAGGGGAUUUUCUCUUGUUUUCUUUUCUUUUCUUUUCAUUUAUUUUUUACAGUUUGUUUAUUUUCUAGACGCCCAAUCUCCAAUUCACCAUUACCACUGCUUACGAAAAAGAAGAAAAAAAAAAUCACCAUUACCACCAGCAGCAACCUCUCCUGGACUACUUAUUAGACUGUUAUUUUUUUCUGGGUUUCUUCGCACCAUGAUCAUCGUCMCCAUCAUCCAGCAAGUUAGGCGUUACUGAACCUAGAAAUUAGUACAUUGUUUUGUUAUUAGAGAGACUAGUAAAUUGCAUUAAUGGCUUGUUAUCUUGAGUUGCA